CCCUACGGGAGGCAGCAGUGGGGAAUAUUGGUCAAAGGGCGGAAGCCUGAACCAGCCAAGUCGCGUGAGGGAAUAAGGCCCUACGGGUUGUAAACCUCUUUUGUCGGGGAGCAAAGCGAACCACGUGUGGUUCAUUGAGAGUACCCGAAGAAAAAGCAUCGGCUAACUCCGUGCCAGCAGCCGCGGUAAUACGGAGGAUGCGAGCGUUAUCCGGAUUUAUUGGGUUUAAAGGGUGCGCAGGCGGAGGUGCAAGUCAGCGGUCAAAUUGCGGGGCUCAACCCCGUACUGCCGUUGAAACUGCAUCC
rnacentral:rRNA from 1 species